UACGUAGGUGACCAGCGUUGUCCGGAUUUACUGGGCGUAAAGAGCGCGCAGGCGGUCGUUUCAAGUCGAGUGUGAAAGCCCCCGGCUCAACUGGGGAGGGUCACUUGAUACUGAUCGACUCGAAGGCAGGAGAGGGAAGCGGAAUUCCCGGUGUAGUGGUGAAAUGCGUAGAUAUCGGGAGGAACACCAGUGGCGAAGGCGGCUUCCUGGCCUGUUCUUGACGCUGAGGCGGCGAAAAGCUAGGGGAGCAAAC
rnacentral:rRNA from 1 species